rnacentral:rRNA from 1 species
AUUGAACGCUGGCGGCAGGCCUAACACAUGCAAGUCGAGCGGCAGCUGAAAGUAGCUUGCUACUUUGCCGGCGAGCGGCGGACGGGUGAGUAAUGUCUGGGAAACUGCCUGAUGGAGGGGGAUAACUACUGGAAACGGUAGCUAAUACCGCAUAACGUCGCAAGACCAAAGAGGGGGACCUUCGGGCCUCUUGCCAUCAGAUGUGCCAAGAUGGGAUUAGCUAGUAGGUGGGGUAACGGCUCACCUAGGCGACGAUCCCUAGCUGGUAUGAGAGGAUGACCAGCCACACUGGAACUGAUACACGGUCCAGGCUCCUACGGGAGGCAGCAGUGGGGAAUAUUGCACAAUGGGCUCAAGCCUGAUGCAGCCAUGCCGCGUGUAUGAAGAAGGCCUUCGGGUUGUAAAGUACUUUCAGCGGGGAGGAAGGUGUUGAGGUUAAUAACCUCAGCAAUUGACGUUACCCGCAGAAGAAGCACCGGCUAACUCCGUGCCAGCCGCCGCGGUAAUAC